rnacentral:rRNA from 1 species
UACGAAGGGGGCUAGCGUUGCUCGGAAUUACUGGGCGUAAAGCGCACGUAGGCGGGUUGUUAAGUCGGGGGUGAAAUCCUGGAGCUCAACUCCAGAACUGCCUUCGAAACUGACGAUCUUGAGUUCGGGAGAGGUGAGUGGAACUGCGAGUGUAGAGGUGAAAUUCGUAGAUAUUCGCAAGAACACCAGUGGCGAAGGCGGCUCACUGGCCCGAUACUGACGCUGAGGUGCGAAAGCGUGGGGAGCGAACAGG